UGGGGAAUAUUGCACAAUGGGCGCAAGCCUGAUGCAGCGACGCCGCGUGAGGGAUGAAGGCCUUCGGGUUGUAAACCUCUUUCAGCAGGGAAGAAGCGCAAGUGACGGUACCUGCAGAAGAAGCGCCGGCUAACUACGUGCCAGCAGCCGCGGUAAUACGUAGGGCGCAAGCGUUGUCCGGAAUUAUUGGGCGUAAAGAGCUCGUAGGCGGUUUGUCGCGUCUGCUGUGAAAACUCGAGGCUCAACCUCGGGCUUGCAGUGGGUACGGGCAGACUAGAGUGCGGUAGGGGGGACUGGAAUUCCUGGUGUAGCGGUGGAAUGCGCAGAUAUCAGGAGGAACACCGAUGGCGAAGGCAGGUCUCUGGGCCGCAACUGACGCUGAGGAGCGAAAGCAUGGGGAGCGAACAGGAUUAGAUACCCUGGUAGUCCAUGCCGUAAACGUUGGGCACUAGGUGUGGGGCUCAUUCCACGAGUUCCGUGCCGCAGCAAACGCAUUAAGUGCCCCGCCUGGGGAGUACGGCCGCAAGGCUAAAACUCAAAGAAAUUGACGGGGGCCCGCACAAGCGGCGGAGCAUGCGGAUUAAUUCGAUGCAACGCGAAGAACCUUACCAAGGCUUGACAUACACCGGAAACUUCCAGAGAUGGUUGCCCCGCAAGGUCGGUGUACAGGUGGUGCAUGGUUGUCGUCAGCUCGUGUCGUGAGAUGUUGGGUUAAGUCCCGCAACGAGCGCAACCCUCGUCCUAUGUUGCCAGCGGGUCAUGCCGGGGACUCAUAGGAGACUGCCGGGGUCAACUCGGAGGAAGG
rnacentral:rRNA from 1 species